rnacentral:rRNA from 1 species
AACGAACGCUGGCGGCAGGCUUAACACAUGCAAGUCGAACGAGAUCUUCGGAUCUAGUGGCGCACGGGUGAGUAACGCGUGGGAAUCUACCUUGGAGUCUGGGAUAACAGUUGGAAACGACUGCUAAUACCGGAUACGCCCUUAGGGGGAAAGGUUACUGCUCCGAGAUGAGCCCGCGUCCAAUUAGGUAGUUGGUGAGGUAAAGGCUCACCAAGCCGACGAUUGGUAGCUGGUCUGAGAGGAUGACCAGCCACACUGGGACUGAGACACGGCCCAGACUCCUACGGGAGGCAGCAGUGGGGAAUAUUGGACAAUGGGGGCAACCCUGAUCCAGCCAUGCCGCGUGAGUGAUGAAGGCCUUAGGGUUGUAAAGCUCUUUCGCCGGUGACGAUGAUGACGGUAACCGGAGAAGAAGCCCCGGCUAACUUCGUGCCAGCAGCCGCGGUAAUG